rnacentral:rRNA from 1 species
UACGGGGGGGGCAAGCGUUGUUCGGAAUUACUGGGCGUAAAGGGCUCGUAGGUGGCCAACUAAGUCAGACGUGAAAUCCCUCGGCUUAACCGGGGAACUGCGUCUGAUACUGGAUGGCUUGAGUUUGGGAGAGGGACGCGGAAUUCCAGGUGUAGCGGUGAAAUGCGUAGAUAUCUGGAGGAACACCGGUGGCGAAGGCGGCAUCCUGGACCGACAUUGACGCUGAGGCGCGAAAGCCAGGGGAGCAAACGGG